rnacentral:rRNA from 1 species
GACGAACGCUGGCGGCGUGCUUAACACAUGCAAGUCGAACGGAAAGGCCCUGCUUUUGUGGGGUGCUCGAGUGGCGAACGGGUGAGUAACACGUGAGUAACCUGCCCUUGACUUUGGGAUAACUUCAGGAAACUGGGGCUAAUACCGGAUAGGCGCUCCUGCUGCAUGGUGGGGGUUGGAAAGUUUCGGCGGUUGGGGAUGGACUCGCGGCUUAUCAGCUUGUUGGUGGGGUAGUGGCUUACCAAGGCUUUGACGGGUAGCCGGCCUGAGAGGGUGACCGGCCACAUGGGGACGGAGAUACGGCCCAGACUCCUGCGGGGGGCAGGAGGGGGGAAUAUCGCACAAGGGGCGGAAGCCUGAUGGAGCAACGCCGCGUGCGGGAAGACGGCCUUCGGGUUGUAAACCGCUUUCGCCUGUGACGAAGCGUGAGGGACGGUAAUGGGUAAAGAAGCACCGGCUAACUACGU